rnacentral:rRNA from 1 species
AACGAACGCUGGCGGCAUGCCUAACACAUGCAAGUCGAACGAACCCUCCGGGGUUAGUGGCGCACGGGUGCGGCACGCGUGGGAAUCUGCCCUUUUCUUCGGAAUAACUCAGGGACACUUGUGCUAAUACCGGAUGAUGUCUUCUGACCAAAGAUUUAUCGGCCGGGGAUGAGCGCGCGUAGGAUUAGGUAGUUGGUGGGGUAAAGGCCUACCAAGCAGUCGAUACUUAGCUGGUCUGAGAGGAAGGUCAGCCACACUGAGGCGGAGACGCGGCCCAGAAUCUUACGGGAGGGGGCAGUGGGGAAUAUUGGAAAAUGGGGGCAAGGAUGAAGCAGCUAGGCCGGGUGAGUGAUGAAGGCCGGCGGGAAGUAAAGCUCUUUUACCAGGGAUGAUAAUGACAGUACCUGGAGAAUAAGCACCGGCUAACUCCGUG